ACUUUACGACUUUUGUCAUAACACGUCAGCAAAAGCUCAACGUCAGUUGUGGAUGUGUAUUUAUUGGGGCAGAUUCAUGUGAAUCAGACCAGGAUAAUUAAAAAAAUCAACAACACUGAGAUACCGUCUUUUGCUAAGACACCGCCCGAACCCGCCGUCUUCGCCUUAGUGAAACCUCCCGUCUGGCACUGCGCUUUGAUCUGAAACUGGCAAUGACGACACUGAAGUGCAACCGCAUCACCCCACACGGAUUGCGCGAGUUCUCUUUUAUUUUGUCUCGGAGAAGUAAGCGGUAAGACGGCGGAACAUGAGAAAGUUCGACUGUACGCUCUUUCACGGCAGCGAUCUUCCCAGCGGGAGCAGAGCUGAUGCGCACAACGCGACCUGCCGUUUUGACCUCCCUUGCGCGCCGACUUUCACCCUUUUUCACCCCGCGCCUUGCUUACCGCAGUCCCGAGCGAGGAACAGAUCCCGAAAAUGCGCAAUGAUCCAGCGUCCAUGCUAACAGAAGGCUUCCUUCUUGGCUGGCGGUGAGGUCAGACCUCCGCUCCGCGCUUUGCCGCCGGCUUAAUCCCAUCAAGCGCGGGCACCACGGGCCAACUUUGAUGUGCAGCCGGUUAAAUGAAGCGUGACCCUAAUUCUCAGGUAAGCCGCCCGCCAGCUAACGACGGAGGAGUUUCUUUUGGAGCCUUCCUGACUCGCCUCUCAUCAGCAGUGUUGCGACCCGGAGCGCUGCCAAGUCACAAAUUGAGUCAACCACACGACCCCCGAAAGAGCUUCUCAAAAAUGGGAUGGCAACACGGCUACAUCGUACGGAGGGGCUUCGAUUUAUGACAGUCUGGACGUAAGCGGUUUCGAGGUUACGGAUGCCACGCAAUCAGAUGCCUGGCGGUCACGUGGCAUAAGAAAUAAAUAACGCCGCCGUGCAUUCCCAAAAAGCUUGAUCUGGGUUUCAUCUGUUCUCCGAAGCUUUUCCCAGAUGGUCCGGCUUGGUCUCGGUCCUCUUUGGUAAAGUUCAGUCAUAAUGCGGGGUCCUUCAUCGAUGGCCUUUCACUGAUGCUGAUAAUUGAAGCCAGCGCACAGCCUUUGAAGCAGAUUUCACGUCAUCGGGCUGGGGUUAUCGCAACGCUCCCGUGCCGGUUUUAGGGACGAACCUCUCUUCCGACCUGAGAAGCGCAGUACUAAAUGGAACUUGGCCGCAGAAGAUCAGAGCUGGGCUUCACGUCCUUGACUUUUAGCCCAUUCAUCAUAAAGCACCGCAGUCCGGGCACGAGCUUUGCCACAGACGAGCGGGGCAGGCAGGCGAGCGAGAAUCUGGCCGCUGAUCAAUUUGAGCAAAUUGGAAAUGUCACGGCCGACUCAUCUUCAACAGGGGGCCCGGAGGAACUCUCAUCUCGCUGCCUUCUCUCUUCCCCGAGCUCCUCCUCAUCUCUCUCCAGAUGUUCACUCUGGACCCUCGACCUCCAUACUUGCACUUGUCCUUCCUCCUAAUGUCAGCUGGA